rnacentral:rRNA from 1 species
UCGGGAAUUUUGGGCAAUGGGCGAAAGCCUGACCCAGCAACGCCGCGUGAGGGAUGAAGUAUCUCGGUAUGUAAACCUCGAAAGAAUGGGAAGAAUAAAUGACGGUACCAUUUAUAAGCUCCGGCUAACUACGUGCCAGCAGCCGCGGUAAUACGUAGGGAGCAAGCGUUGUUCGGAUUUACUGGGCGUAAAGGGCGCGUAGGCGGCGCGGUAAGUCACUUGUGAAAUCUCUGAGCUUAACUCAGAACGGCCAAGUGAUACUGCUGUGCUAGAGUGCGGAAGAGGCAACCGGAAUUCUUGGUGUAGCGGUGAAAUGCGUAGAUAUCAAGAGGAACACCUGGGGCGAAGGCGGGUUGCUGGGCCGACACUGACGCUGAUGCGCGAAAGCCAGGGGAGCAAA